UUUGAUUGGUUCAAUUUUCAAAUAGUUUAUAGACCUGGAUCUCGUAACAAAAAAGCUGAUGCUCUCUCCAGAAUUCCUUUAAUCCUGCUUCAGAAAAGAAAACCUUUUCAAUAUUAUCAAACAAUAAAAUAAUUGGACUUACAACUACUAUAUUGGAUGAACUGAAACAAUUAUCUCACAAGGAACGUGAACUACCUUCUACUCCUAAAUUGUUCAAAAAAGAUGGAAUCUUUUAUUUCAAAAAUA